UACGUAGGGUGCAAGCGUUAAUCGGAAUUACUGGGCGUAAAGCGCUCGUAGGCGGUGUGUCGCGUCGGCCGUGAAAACCUGCAGCUUAACUGUGGGCUUGCGGUCGAUACGGGCAUCACUGGAGUUCGGCAGGGGAGACUGGAAUUCCUGGUGUAGCGGUGAAAUGCGCAGAUAUCAGGAGGAACACCGGUGGCGAAGGCGGGUCUCUGGGCCGAUACUGACGCUGAGGAGCGAAAGCGUGGGGAGCGAACAGG
rnacentral:rRNA from 1 species